AAGAAGAUGAAGACCUUUUUUGCAAGCAGACAUCUCCCUGAGGAGGUUCUGUCCAUGAAAAAUAUGGCCAUUUAUAUUUAAUGUUAACACAGAUCAAUGACCCAAAAUCCACAAUAGUCUCACAGAAACAGUAUACAGUCCUGGACCCACCCUCCAUUCAGCUGAGACGUGGCUCCGUAGCUUUUUGCCGGACCACCCAUCGCACCGUAUCCCUGCGUGAUGUCGCCCGUCUCCUCAGCCAGCUCAUCUUCAUCAAUGAAGCCGCAUUUCUCCUCACUGGUUUCUUCAGGGUCGGCCCAUGGUUGCUUCUCACCAGAUGCAAAGAUCCCAUAAAACACCACACCUCCGUAAUGCACCAGGGAGGCGAUGAGGAAGACAUACUGCCACUCUUCACGGGUCUGAGGACAGAAACAGAGGUCGCCAUUUGCAACAUAUGAUGAUGGAGUCUGUAUCACGUCACCACCCCCAUGAGGACAAACUCACCUUGUUUUUUGUCAUUGCUCCAACUAUAAGUGGACAGACCAUGCCUGACAAGGUCCCUACACCAUUAGAAAUACCCAUGAGGAUGCUGGCGUAUCGCGGAGCGAUGUCCAGAUGGUUCACAUUGAAACCUGCAACAAAACAAGGGACCCAUAAGCCGACCAGAAGGAGAGGAGCCUUAAGCUUCCAAUUGGCCUUUUGCACCCAUGUCACCUGAUCUCAUGGGUCCACCAUGUUGGAUGUCAAAAGCGUGGUAAACAGUGAGCAAAACGAGUAUCGAACAACGUGUCUGUGUUGUUUUUAGUGAUGUUAAGGAUGGAUUCAACUAGUUCAAUCCAAGUUUAGUUCAAUUUAAGUUUAGUUAUUGGAAAAAGUAGCACACCCAGGUUCGGCAACAGUGAGAAGAAAAAUGGCGACUGAGAUAGUUUUUGUUGCCAGUUUAGCCUGGUUUCUACUGGUUCAAGUCCAGUUCACUUGUUGGAAGAUUACAUGUAGAUGGACACAUAGACGGAGCUUACAGAGAGCAGCAUUUGCAAAAUUUAGCAUGUAAACGUUAGCUUAUGUUUUCCCUGCCGGUGUUCACAGAUGUAAACAAGUUGCCAACUUUGCCAGAAUUCACCAUGCUGGAUUUAUAACAUAAUGUUUGAAAUAGCAUUCACUUCACACUGGAGCUGAUUAAAAAAACAAAGUCUGGA